UUGACCUCGGAUCAGGUAGGAAUACCCGCUGAACUUAAGCAUAUCAAUAAGCGGAGGAAAAGAAACCAACAGGGAUUGCCUCAGUAACGGCGAGUGAAGCGGCAACAGCUCAAAUUUGAAAAA
rnacentral:rRNA from 1 species